rfam:Streptomyces violaceusniger Tu 4113, complete genome.
CUUGAGCGAGCCGAGCCACAGCGGACGGUCCUCCGGCCGCCCCUGGCCGUAUGUGGCCAGCAGCGCCUGCGCCUC